AACGAACGCUGGCGGCAGGCUUAACACAUGCAAGUCGAACGGGCGUAGCAAUACGUCAGUGGCAGACGGGUGAGUAACACGUGGGAAUAUCCCUUUCAGUUCGGAAUAACUCAGGGAAACUUGAGCUAAUACCGGAUACGUCCUUCGGGAGAAAGAUUUAUCGCUGAGAGAUUAGCCCGCGUCUGAUUAGCUAGUUGGUGAGGUAAUGGCUCACCAAGGCGACGAUCAGUAGCUGGUCUGAGAGGAUGAUCAGCCACACUGGGACUGAGACACGGCCCAGACUCCUACGGGAGGCAGCAGUGGGGAAUAUUGGACAAUGGGGGAAACCCUGAUCCAGCCAUGCCGCGUGAGUGAUGAAGGCCUUAGGGUUGUAAAGCUCUUUUGCCAGGGAAGAUAAUGACUGUACCUGGAGAAUAAGCCCCGGCUAACUUCGUGCCAGCCGCCGCCGUAA
rnacentral:rRNA from 1 species